GAAAGUAAAAGUCGUAACAAGGUUUCCGUAGGUGAACCUGCGGAAGGAUCGUUAUUGUAUAACCGAGGUGCGAGGGCUGUCGCUGACCCGAAAGGUCGUGCACGCCCGAGUGCCCUCACACACAUCCAUCUCACCCCUAUGUGCACCACCGCGUGGGUCCCCCUUUGGCUUGUUCGGAGGGGGGCUUACGUUUUCACACAAACUUUGUAUGCAGUGUAGAAUGUAUUUUUUGUUUUUGCGAUCACGCAAUCAAUACAACUUUCAACAACGGAUCUCUUGGCUCUC
rnacentral:misc_RNA from 1 species